rnacentral:rRNA from 1 species
UGAGGAACAUGACUUUCGGCGGGGGAUAGCCGGCCCAACGGCCGGGUAAUACCGCGUACGACCUGUUGGGGACAUCCCCGAUUGGUGAAAGCAGCAAUGCGCCGAAAGAGUGCCUCGCGGCCUAUCAGCUAGUUGGUGGGUAAUGGCUCACCAAGGCAACGAUGCGUAGCCGACUGAGAGGGUNAUCGGCCACAUUGGAACUGAGACACGGUCCAGACCUCCGUACGGGAGCAGCG